UGAGCAAUCUGCCCUUCUCAUCGGAAUAAGCGUUGGAAACGACGUCUAAUGCCGAAUACGACCUCCUUUCGCAUGAUCGGAGGUGGAAAGCUCCGGCGGAGAAGGAUGAGCUCGCGGCCUAUCAGCUAGUUGGUGGUAGUAGGCCNCACGAGCGACGG
rnacentral:rRNA from 1 species